CGGACGGGUGAGUAACGCGUGGGUAACCUGCCUUGUACUGGGGGACAACAGUUAGAAAUGACUGCUAAUACCGCAUAAGCGCACAGUAUCGCAGGAUACAGUGUGAAAAACUCCGGUGGUACAAGAUGGACCCGCGUCUGAUUAGCUAGUUGGUAAGGUAAGGGCUUACCAAGGCGACGAUCAGUAGCCGACCUGAGAGGGUGACCGGCCACAUUGGGACUGAGACACGGCCCAA
rnacentral:rRNA from 1 species